rnacentral:sRNA from 1 species
AGAAUACGUCGAAUGGUCUUCAUCGGACGCCAUCAUUUUCUGUUGAACACAUUGUUUACAACUACAAGCGCUAUUUACGCGGAAAGAAGCAUUUUCUUGAUCCAUAUAAGCUGUGGAAUGAUUCUGAACACCUGAAUUUAUUCUGUCGUCUGCGUACGGAAAUUUCUCGAAAUCAUAAUGGUCCGAUCGACAAUAGCCGAUAACAUUUUCAGAAUUGCAUUGCUGACAAGACGAAGGAUAUGCACUAACACUAUUUUGUCUUGCAUCCAUAAACUGUCCUCUAAAAGGAAUGGAGGAAUUUGAUUGGCUACAAAUAUUGCACGGACAACUACGCGGGAUUUGAUUUGGUGACUGGAGAAAACAAGACCCACAUUGACAGUUACUUUGGUACAUGGCGUUACUGACAGAAGGGUUGGGACUGCGGAUGUCAUACAACAUAUUACUCACUGGAGAACUAACUUUCUUGGUUUGAUAACCAUUAGAUGUUUCAGAAUUUCGAAGCCCGUACUUUUCCUUGAAUUCUAACAUUAUAUCUUCACCAAAACGUAGGUUUCUGGACGUCAAAUCUGACAACGGAUAAGAAGAGCUGUUUUCACUAUCUUUAACAGUACUGUACGUGUUCGAUGUGUAUGCUCCACUGUGGGUCAGAGACUCGUUUUCGGAUCUAUCUUUCACGUGACCAUUUGGUUCAUUAGACUCAUAAAUAUUAGACUUCCGCCAAAAACGAGAAAAGCCCAUAGUCCACUUCUCGCUCUUUUCAGGCGGACUGGUUUCUCCGUCUAUCAAUUUCGUUUGAACACCGCCAGUAGUUGUAAGAAACACCUACAUAUACAAAAAAAAAAUAUUAAGAGAAUGGGUACAUUGUCAUUUGUUACAAUGAUCAUAAAUUAAUACUAUGCUUAC